AACGAACGCUGGCGGCAGGCUUAACACAUGCAAGUCGAGCGCCCCGCAAGUGGGGCGGCAGACGGGUGAGUAACGCGUGGGAACGUACCCUUAUCUUCGGGAUAGCCCAGGGAAACUGGAAUGAAUACCGAAUGUGCCCUUUGGGGGUAAGAUUUAUCGGAUAAGGAUCGGACCGCGUGGGCUUAGCAAGUUGGGGGGGUAAAUGCCUACCAAGGCGACGAUCCAUAGCUGGUCUGAGAGGAUGAUCAGCGACAUUGAGACUGAGAGACGGCCCAAACUCCUACGGGAGGCGGCAGUGGGGAAUAUUGGACUAUGGGCGCAGGCCUGAUCCAGCCAUGCCGGGUGAGUGAUGAAGGCGUUAGGGUUGUAAAGCUCUUUCACCGGAGAAGAUACUGACGGUAUCCGGAGAAGAAGCCCCGGCUAACUUCGUG
rnacentral:rRNA from 1 species